ACUGUUAUUCCCCAGGAGCGUGUGACGCUUGGGAAAGUUUUGCACGUCUAUUAAUAAUAAGCCACAUCGGGCUCCAUUUUCAGCACAGCUCACUAUAAUUCUUAUCAUGGCUCCCCGAGGCAGCCGAGGCUUUCAUGACCUGUGACGUCAUUCUGCACUACGUGUCUUUUCCGGGAGCGUAGUUCCGGCCUGUGCGUAGUUCCUGUGAUUUAUGCGCUGGGAAUCCUAACGGACAAGGAUUUGCCGGAAAUCGUCCUGCCCUUGCAGAUGCUAGACUGAAGGAUGCACUUUGGUUCCGGUUCGCGUGUACUAUUCCAUUACCCAGGACUCCACAGCCGCAGGCUUUUUUCCUAGUUGGCUUCCCCGAGUGAGAAGAAAACUUGUUACAUCUAAAGGCACCAAAGGGAGGAAGGUGGCCUAAUAUUGUGCAACUGAAAGCACCCCAAUCCGAACUGACAGGAUUUGGAGAGUAAUAUUUGAAGAUAAGGCUGGUGGGACCAAGAAGAGAGCUUGGCAAUCCACGUGUGCCAUGUAGAAGCUGCCGUCUGGCAUAGCAGAAAGGAAAACUGAGAGGAGGAACUGCAUUCAGCAAUUCUAAUCUGACCGAUGGAGCUUAUUAUACGAAUACUUAAUAGCAUUCCAAAUACCAACAUUUUCUGUAUACUUCUUCUUAAGAAAUAUUUGCUUAAAACACAAACACUGAGAAUUUUUACAUGAUUUAUUUAAUAAUAAACCAAUUAAAGAUACAAAACGUUUAGAGGCUUCCAAAAUUUAAAUUUUUGCUUAAAUACAAAUUCACUCUGUAAUAUGAAAACAUAGAACAAGAGACCUCUAAACAUGAUUUUUUUCAUCUACAAAAGUUUCUCCUUUGCUGUACUAGAAAAUUUGCAGAAAACAAUUUUUCUUGUGAAAUUAAAUGUACAUUAUUUACAGUUGAAAAGUAAUCUAAAAACUAUUUCAUUUCCGAGACUCAGAUAUAUAUGUAUAUUAUCUUUGUACGCAACCCCCCCAACUCCCAAUAAAAAAAUGAUCCAAAAUAUAAAGCAAUUAUGCUUUUAUAGCAACUGACUACUCAGCCAGAUGAGCCCAAGGUGUGGUUGCU